rnacentral:rRNA from 1 species
AGGGAAUAGAUACCCGGGUAGUCCAUGCUGUAAACGAUGGAUGCUAGCUGUGAUGCGUAUCGACCCGCGUCGUAGCGAAGCUAACGCGUUAAGCAUCCCGCCUGUGGAGUACGGCCGCAAGGCUAAAACAUAAAGGAAUUGACGGGGACCCGCACAAGCGGUGGAGCGUGUUGUUUAAUUCGAUGGUAAGCGAAGAACCUUACCCAGGUUUGACAUCCUUGGAAGUUCUGCGAAAGCAGAGUGUGCCUUCGGGAACCAAGUGACAGGUGAUGCAUGGCCGUCUUCAGCUCGUGUCGUGAGACGUUAGGUUAAGUCCUUCAACGAGCGCAACCCUUAUAGUUAGUUGUAUUUUUCUAGCUAGACUGCCCUGGUAACAGGGAGGAAGGAGGGGACGAUGUCAGGUCAGUAUCUCCCUUAUAUCUGGGGCUACAAACACGCUACAAUGGCCGGUACAAGGGAAGCCAACCCGCGAGGGGUAGCAAUCCCAUCAAAGCCGGUCUCAGUUCGGAUUGUAGGCUGAAACUCGCCUGCAUGAAG